AACGGAGGGGGCAAGUGUUACUCAUAAUUAUUGGGCGUAAAGAGUGCGUAGGCGGUUACUUAAGUUAAAGAUUAAAGAUUAAUUAUUAAAAUUAAGACAGUUUUUAAUACUGAGUGACUAGAGUAUAGCAGAGGAAAAUGGAACUUUUACUGGAAAGGUGGAAUUUAUAGAUAGUAAAGGGACGACCAAAGGCGAAGGCAAUUUUCUGGGUUAUUACUGACGCUGUUGCACGAAAGCGUGGGGAGCAAACAGG
rnacentral:rRNA from 1 species